rnacentral:rRNA from 1 species
UUUGGUCAUUUAGAGGAAGUAAAAGUCGUAACAAGGUCUCCGUUGGUGAACCAGCGGAGGGAUCAUUACCGAGUUUACAACUCCCAAACCCCUGUGAACAUACCUAUACGUUGCCUCGGCGGAUCAGCCCGCGCCCCGUAAAACGGGACGGCCCGCCCGAGGACCCCUAAACUCUGUUUUUAGUGGAACUUCUGAGUAAAACAAACAAAUAAAUCAAAACUUUCAACAACGGAUCUCUUGGUUCUGGCAUCGAUGAAGAACGCAGCAAAAUGCGAUAAGUAAUGUGAAUUGCAGAAUUCAGUGAAUCAUCGAAUCUUUGAACGCACAUUGCGCCCGCCAGUAUUCUGGCGGGCAUGCCUGUUCGAGCGUCAUUUCAACCCUCAAGCUCAGCUUGGUGUUGGGACUCGCGGUAACCCGCGUUCCCCAAAUCGAUUGGCGGUCACGUCGAGCUUCCAUAGCGUAGUAAUCAUACACCUCGUUACUGGUAAUCGUCGCGGCCACGCCGUAAAACCCCAACUUCUGAAUGUUGACCUCGGAUCAGGUAGGAAUACCCGCUGAACUUAAGCAUAUCAAUAAGCGGAGGAA